UGUGUUCCCAUGUGUGGCCACUUCCCCUGAUCAUCCCUCUUGUGUAUUUAGUCUCUGUGUUUCAUGUAGUCUGUGUCGCGUCGUCUGUGUUCUCACCCCCAUGUUUUCACGAUCAGUCUUUUGUGAUCAUCAUCGUCUCAGAGUUCUCUUAGUUUGUCACAGUAUUAGUUUUCCCAGUUUAGUUAUAGUUCAGCCACGCUAUCCCUGCUGUGUUUGUAUUCCUGGUCUUCAGUCAAAUUAAAGGCUCGCUUUCUGUUAAACUCACUCCCGUCUACUCACUUGUGUACGCUCCUGGGUCCAUUACACACACCACCGCACGGCCUGCCUCUGCAGACCGUGACACCCCUGCUUUACAAGACUAUUCUACACACUGAUCAGCCCCAAUGUUCAAGCUUCAGUUUCUGCUGCCAGCUUGUAUUGCGAAGUUGGCCGUGGCAUGGUUGACUUAACGGGGAGCACCAGGUAGCACAUCGAGGGUCCUCUCACUCAAGUCAUCCAGCGAGUCAAAGGUAGCACCUCCUGCUGCCCUCCCCUUCAGCUGCUGUUCAGCCACAUCAGUGUCAGGCCCCUGGUUCCCUGGAGGAGGGCUGCCACGGCAGGCCGGUUGGGACUCGGAAGCCUAAUUGGGGCCCAAGGAUGCCUCACUCUGCUGCUACAGCUGUGCUGCCGCUGGCUGAUGGUAGGAUCAAAACCCCGUGACUAGCCAGAGGUCAGAGGUUGCUGGGUGGCUGCUCAGCAUGCAAAGCCGGAGGAGGUCCUGCCUGUGUCACCAGGCGGAUCAGGCAGUGCUGUCCUGCAGUCUGCAUGAACUCUGACUGAAGCCCUCAGCUGCUCAGUGUGUCUCUUUCUCUGACUCUGUCUCUAAAUGGAGCUGAUGUCUGUAUAAAGUUUGAAAUCCUUCAGUGAAAUAAACAUGUAAUCAUAGAUGA